rnacentral:rRNA from 1 species
AUUGAACGCUGGCGGCAUGCCUAACACAUGCAAGUCGAACGGAAUAAGGGGUAACUCUUUAUUUAGUGGCGGACGGGUGAGGAAUACGUAGGAAUCUGCCCCUAAAAGUGGGGGAUAACUCGGGGAAACGUCGAGCUAAUACCGCAUGUGCUCUACGGAGCAAAGGGGGCGCAAGCUCUCGCUUUGGGAUGAGCCUACGUCGGAUUAGCUAGUUGGUGGGGUAAAGGCCUACCAAGGCAACGAUCCGUAGCUGGUCUGAGAGGAUGACCAGCCACACUGGGACUGAGAUACGGCCCAGACUCCUACGGGAGGCAG